ACGGAAGGGCACCACCAGGAGUGGAGCCUGCGGCUUAAUUUGACUCAACACGGGAAACCUCACCCGGCCCGGACACCGCGAGGAUUGACAGAUUGAGAGCUCUUUCUCGAUUCGGUGGGUGGUGGUGCAUGGCCGUUCUUAGUUGGUGGAGCGAUUUGUCUGGUUAAUUCCGAUAACGAACGAGACUCUAGCCGGUUAAGUAGCCCGGAGCGGUUUUUGAUCUUUGCCGUCCGUCCUCCGUCCUACCUUUUUUUUCCCGUCCUCGGCCGACCGGCCACGGAGGGAAAAGGGAAAGGCGAGGAGGUGGUCAUCCGUGGUGGUUUUUCUGUUCCGUGCACGUUCGCCUUUACCGGCGGGCGUCGUGCGGGCGGUACCCUCGGGGAAACCGUCGCUUCGUUUCCUCCCUGACCUUUCGCCCGCGAGGUCGAGACGGAAAGGGUGGUCGAGGCGGAAGCAUAACCGAAGGCCGCCGGCUUUUACAGGAAGCUUCUUAGAGGGACGAGCGGCGUUCAGCCGCCCGAGAUUGA
rnacentral:rRNA from 1 species